GGAAGGAUCAUUACUGAAUUGUCAAACGGGUUGUUGCUGGUCCUCAAAUGGGGACAUGUGCACGCUCUGUUUACACAUCCACUCACACCUGUGCACCCUCUGUAGUUCUGCGGUAUGGGGGACCCCGUCUUCCUUCUGUGGUUCUAUGUCUUUACACACACACUGUAAUAAAGUCUUAUGGAAUGUAUGCCGCGUCUAACGCAAUACAAUACAACUUUCAGCAACGGAUCUCUUGGCUCUCGCAUCGAUGAAGAACGCAGCGAAAUGCGAUAAGUAAUGUGAAUUGCAGAAUUCAGUGAAUCAUCGAAUCUUUGAACGCACCUUGCGCCCCUUGGCUAUUCCGAGGGGCAUGCCUGUUUGAGUAUCAUGAACACCUCAACUCUCAUGGUUUGCCAUGACGAGCUUGGACCUUGGGGGUUUUGCUGGCCUGUGGUCGGCUCCUCUCAAAUGAAUCAGCCUCCCAGUGUUUGGUGGCGUCACGAGUGUGAUAACUAUCUACGCUCGCGGUUGUCCACCAGGUAACCUUUGGUGACAAAGGUUCGCUGGAGCUCAUAGAUGUCUCUCCUCAGCGAGGACAGCUUUUUAACGUUCGAUCUCAAAUCAGGUAGGACUACCCGCUGAACUUAAGCAUAUCAAUAAGCGGAGGAA
rnacentral:sRNA from 1 species